GCUUUCAACAUCCCCGUUCGCCGCGCCCAGCACCAUCAGCCGGUAGAACUGAAGGC
rnacentral:sRNA from 1 species